rnacentral:rRNA from 1 species
UACGUAGGGUGCAAGCGUUGUCCGGAAUUAUUGGGCGUAAAGAGCUCGUAGGCGGUCUGUCGCGUCUGCUGUGAAAACUCGGGGCUUAACCCCGGGCCUGCAGUGGGUACGGGCAGACUGGAGUACUGCAGGGGAGACUGGAAUUCCUGGUGUAGCGGUGGAAUGCGCAGAUAUCAGGAGGAACACCGAUGGCGAAGGCAGGUCUCUGGGCUGACACUGACGCUCAUGCACGAAAGCGUGGGGAGCAAACAGG